rnacentral:lncRNA from 1 species
AAAGCCUCCUCCUCAAGACCUCGGACUCCGCCUCGGCGUCCUUGACUGCCUGCUGCUCGUGGAUCAGCUGAACUUUCAGCCGCCGUACUUUGACUUCCUCCCACCCAAGGGCUACGGACAGUUCUGCCAUAGUCUCCCUUAAGGAGCAAAGCUCAUCAGAACCUUGUGCAGGGACAAGCUGGAUUCUCUCGGACAACUGCCUUUGAAGGCGGGCAACUUCGUCAGUCGCCGUCUGGAGCCUCCUUCGGUAGUCCUCUACUUGUCAGCUCUAGCUGACCCGGUGGGUGUCGUAAGUUGCCUCGACGUCCCACAGCU